rnacentral:rRNA from 1 species
CGCGUAGGUGGUGGCAUAAGUCCGAGGUGGAAGACUAAGGCUUAACCUUAGAAUUGCCUUGGAAACUGUAUCACUUGAGUCAGCGAGGGGAUGGCGGAAUUCCAGGUGUAGCGGUGAAAUGCGUAGAUAUCUGGAGGAAGGCCGGUGGCGAAGGCGGCCAUCUGGCGCUGAACUGACACUGAGGCGCGAAAGCGUGGGGAGCAAACAGGAUUAGAUACCCUGGUAGUCCACGCCCUAAACGGUGGGUACUAGGUGUAGGGCUCGCAAGGGUUCUGUGCCGUAGGGAAACCAUUAAGUACCCCGCCUGGGGAGUACGGCCGCAAGGUUGAA